rnacentral:lncRNA from 1 species
CUAAAUAUUUUAAAACUUCUAUUGAGGGCCCCACAAUUUUGUAUUUUUAUUGGGCGAGGCUCGAACCAUUUUUAUAUUAAAGGGUAAACCUAAGAGCGACUAUAUUUUCUAUUUUUUGUUUUGUCUCUAAAAGAAAAAGAAAAUCCUAUAUAAUUACAUUAUCCGAACUCAGGUUUCAAGUUCAAUUAUGGGCCCAAACAAAAGGAAAGACCUUUUAGCUAGGACUCGCUACCUAACUCAAAACCCAAGACAAGCCACUUAAACACCGACGGAUCAAUUGUCAUUUUAAUCUUGGGCCCCAAAGAGCCCAAACCGCAUAAUAUGCAUGCCAGGAUUUUAACAACAUAGAAUUGGCCAGGCGUUGGCUCAGCUUUAGACAAAUAGGCAGACCAAGGGUCAAGGAAUCGAACACCCUCUAGCAUUAGCAGGCCACUGAUUUAUUAGUCAGUUUUGGCUCAUGCUACAAAGGUAAGCCCUCAAACAGUGAGGUUGAAGCUCAAACGAAAUUGUCAAUUACCAAAUUUCAAGGAAGGCUGAACAAAUCAUUCUCACAGAACACAAUAAUAACAGUUAAUUAAGUCAACUACAUUAAGAUGGUGAUGGGCGACGAUUUCCACUACUAAUUCCUUUCAGUAACUUGAAGGUAAAAUAAAAUCCAUAGCUAAUUACACAAUGUAAACAAAUGAGCUAGUCCACAUUACGUCUUAGGCACAGUCCAAUAGAAGUGUCAGGCAAUUCAUAUAAAUUACAAUCCAAAUUCAAUAAAGCUAAGCCACUACAAACCAUAAAGCAUUGAGCAUAGUAAUUAAACUUCAUGAUAAUGAGAAAUCAGUAGAAAUUCCAUCAGGCCUCAAAUUGCCAUGGCAUUUUUCAUUUCAUCAAAGAGAUUACAACUUCGAAUGUGUACCCGAAAUCUGGGCAGAAGUAAAAUAGAGGAGAGUCGGUCGAAUCAAUGCACGAACAACAGUAGCAGUAGGACAAUUUUCAGCAGUUUUGAACACCAACAGCUCAGAAAUGCUACGUAAUCUAAAAAUAAAUAGUGAAUCUACCAAAACAUCAUCCAAAUUGAACCAAAGAUGAAACGAACACCAAUUAAAACUUUCAGCAAUCCAAAACACACUCAGUUGAACUCGAAUAUUCCAAGAACAGACUUAGUAAGCUACAGAAUAGUUUCAACAGAAGAAUAGAUGAAAUUCACUGCCUAGCACUCACACCUCAACUGGAAAUGCAAUGGAACAGUUCAUUUUUUGGGGUUUUGACUGUUUUUUUUUUUUUUUUCUUGAAGAAGUUGAGAUCUAAAGAAAUUUCAGAUCUGAAAUGUGAAUUUUAGAUCUAAAAGCUUGGGGAUUACUUUGGGGAAGAUUUUAGGCUACCAAACUUGAUUAAUAAGGCACUGGGGCAGCUUUAAAUAGGUAAAGAUGGGCAGCCCUCAGAUUUUCAGUUUGCACUCCAUUCCCUGAUUAUUUACAGCUUUGGUCCCUUAGUUUUUAACUUGUUCCCCAAGUGAGUCUACUAAUUCCCUGAAAUUACAACUAAAUAGCUACUUUAGAAGGUUCUUGCAUAUUCUACCAAAUUCUACCCCAUCCCAAUUACCUAAACCACCCCUGUAUUUAAACUAGAUUCACAACUGUAACCAAAUAGAUCGCUAGCUCUAAUUUACCAAUUAUUGAAGAACAGUAUUAACAAUUCAUCGAACAACCAUCACAAAUUCAAUAUGAAAUCAGAUUGUAUCAUCUUAAUCAAUCAAAACACAAUUAGACUAAUUAAUGAACUGUUCUUGACAACUAAACCAGAAUGAAAUAGCUAACUAACUGAAACGAGAAUUAAUCCUAACAACAUCAAUCGCCUUAGAGAAACAGAAUGCUCAAAUUUAAACUAAACUAAACGCUAAACAAGAAUUAACUAAUGACGAACUAACAACUAACAGGUUUCGAAAAACAAUCCAAAUAGUAACAAUUUAGCUAUUACCUCGAAAUAGAUAACAUUGAAUUCAAUCCAUUAAUGACACGACGAACACAUGGAGAAGAAAACAAUACGAAUUAAUAAGAAAAAAAAAACAAAAGAAAAACUCUAAGAAACUCACUGGCGACUCUCUGGAUUCAACUUGACUGCCUUCAAUGAAGUUCGAGGCUGACGACAUCGAAUUCGUCGCGAGGGAGGCAAAGAGACUCUGGUGUAUUCAUUAGAAAUCAAUGGAACGAAUUAGGGUGGUUUUGACCGGUUUUGGGUUUGAUAUUCAAGGGGCUCAGUCAUGUUUUGAAGGAAGUUAUUUGUAGAUUGGUGAUGAGGAGAUGGAGGAGUUUUUAUGGUGUGAAUUAGAAUCGAGUUGGGCAGUGUCGCAGCCGUGGACGGCGGAGACGGCGACAAUUCUUUCCACUAUUCGACGACCACCAAUGUCAUUUGAAAGAUGACAAUGGCAGAUUCAUGACGGGGAUGAUGAGGCGGUAUAGGGGUGUAAAUUUGGGAGCCACCGGAGAUGGUGGAGAUUUCUCCGGCGGCAGAGACGGUGGCGUUACAGAGUUUGUACGAGGAGGGGAGUUAUGGUCGUGUUAGGGCUAAAGAGAUUCAGACACCUUUAUGAGAAAUGGGG